CCUACGGGAGGCUGCAGUGGGGAAUAUUGCACAAUGGGGGAAACCCUGAUGCAGCGACGCCGCGUGAGUGAAGAAGUAAUUCGUUAUGUAAAGCUCUAUCAGCAGGGCAGAAAAUGACGGUACCUGAGUAAGCAGCCCCGGCUAACUACGUGCCAGCAGCCGCGGUCAUACGUAGGGGUCAGGCGUUAUCCGGAUUUACUGGGUGUAAAGGGAGCGUAGGCGGGAGUGCAAGUCUGGAGUGAAAGGGUGGGGCUCAACCCCCGGACUGCUGUGGAAACUGUACGGCUGGAGUGCAGGAGAGGUAAGUGGAAUUCCUGGUGUAGCGGUGAAAUGCGUAGAUAUUAGGAGGAACACCAGUGGCGAAGGCGGCUUACUGGACUGUAACUGACGUUGAGGCUCGAAAGCGUGGGGAGCAAACAGGAUUAGAUACCCGGGUAGUC
rnacentral:rRNA from 1 species